UACGUAGGGGGCAAGCGUUGUCCGGAAUUAUUGGGCGUAAAGCGCGCGCAGGCGGUCGACAUAGUCGGGUGGUUAAGCUCGGGGCUCAACCCCGAGUCACACCGGAAACUGGUGGACUUGAGUGCAGAAGAGGAGAGUGGAAUUCCACGUGUAGCGGUGAAAUGCGCAGAUAUCAGGAGGAACACCGGUGGCGAAGGCGGGUCUCUGGGCCGAAACUGACGCUGAGGAGCGAAAGCGUGGGGAGCAAACAGG
rnacentral:rRNA from 1 species